UUCCACAAACCCAGACUUUUCUCCCCACUCUGCCUCUUCAACACUUUGCUUCCUCUGUUCCUUGCCAAUAUGGAAGAAAGAGAAAAAGCCUCGGACAUGAAAGCAAGCCACCAGUUCUUCCGAGGUAUGAAUGAAAAAUUAUAUAUAUAUGUACAAGGUCAAACCCACCAUACAUUUUCCACUUACUUUAUGAAAUGAUUGAUCCGAACUUUUAUUUGCAGGUGAUCUCGCGAGACGAGCUGCUGCUGCUGCUGCUGCUGGCUGCGACGAACAAGGCAGGUUCUUGAGGGUUUGUUCGAGUUGAUUUCGGUGCUAUCCUACCUGAGCUUUUUAUAAUCAAUUUUUUUAUCUUUUGAAGUUGUUUUUUCUUUCUUGAUCUUGUAAGACCUUUUUCUUGACCUUGUAAGACCCCGUACAUACCACAGUCAGUUUAGGUACUUGAUAGCUACUUGUUUUGUAUCCGAAUGUCAGGAUGUAGAGUUCGAAGGCUGCAUUUUCCUGUAUCUGUCUAACGCAUUUUCUCCUUCCUUGUCUAUCCCUCCUGAGCUUGUUUGACCCUCUUAGCACUAGGAUUCCCCAGAACCAAAUAAAUUAUGUAAUAUUUGUACUGUGUAAUAUUUGAUGAAGUCAUUACGGAGCAGCAGGUUUUAGCAAGUUCUUGUUGUUUUGUUUGCUUUGUUGGUGGUUGUAUGUAUUAGUCUGUGUUCCAAAUAUUUAAGGAAAUAAUCAAUCUGCAAAAACCAAACACAAA
rnacentral:lncRNA from 1 species